UACGAAGGGGGCUAGCGUUGCUCGGAAUCACUGGGCGUAAAGGGCGCGUAGGCGGACGUUUAAGUCAGAGGUGAAAGCCCAGGGCUCAACCCUGGAAUUGCCUUUGAUACUGAAUGUCUUGAGACCGGUAGAGGUAAGUGGAACUGCGAGUGUAGAGGUGAAAUUCGUAGAUAUUCGCAAGAACACCAGUGGCGAAGGCGGCUUACUGGACCGGUUCUGACGCUGAGGCGCGAAAGCGUGGGGAGCAAACAGG
rnacentral:rRNA from 1 species